ensembl:lncRNA
GUCAACGCGUCCGCCAUGUUUUGCGGGAAAGAAUGCCUUAAAAACAAACGGAGCCUCUCAUGUUUGCCACUGAGGAAUCCAGGGUGGCCCUGGUGCUCACACUACUGACUGGCAGAGCAGCGCUAUGGGGAACGGUGGUGGGGAAGAAUCGACAUUCCUGCUGUGCUGGAGUUUAACAAAUACUUCUCUAUGGACUCCUCGGGUGCAAUCAGUCAUUUGCCAGAGGGCGAACCCAUGCAGGUGGGGAGAACUCGGCUUUCCCGGGAGGAGAGAGAACGGCGAAGAAGAAGAGGACUGUGCAUUUACUGCGGAGUUGCAGGACAUUUCCUGGUCAAAUUUCCUGUAAAAGGGGAAGCCCGACAACAGAUCUGAGACUGUUGUCGGGUGGAGUCUCGCUUAGCAAAGCCUUGUCUAAUACUCUCCUCCCGGUAAGACUGAAAUGGGCGGCCAGAGUCUACGAAUGUAAGGCGUUAGUGGACUCAGGAGCUGAAGGAUGAGGUGGUGAACCUGUCAAACGUGCCUGCAGAGUACCGUGACCUGAAGGAAGUGUUCAUUAAGUCCAGAGCUGCUUCUCUCCCUCCACACCGUCCAUAUGACUGUGCUAUAGAUCUAGUUCCAGGAACAUGUUUAGCACGUCAGACGAGUGCUCCAGAGGCUGUUAGAGAAUGGGCUUUUUGUCAAGGUCACCGUAGCCACCAGAUCCAGUCUGUAUCCAAGUCAGAGGGUCACUGCAGUCACCCGGAUCCAGUAUGUAUCCAGCCCAGAUGGUGGAUUAGCACCUAGAAAGGACCUCUACAGCCCUGAAAGACAGCGGAGACCAGGACUAGAGCCCCAGAGACAGAUCCCCUGUAAAGACCUUGUUUCAGACGACCACCGGGACAAGACCACAGGAAACAGAUGAUUCUUCUGCACAAUCUGACUUUGCUGCAGCCUGGAAUUGAACUGCUGGUUUCGUCUGGUCAGAGGAGAACUGGCCCCCCGACUGAGCCUGGUUUCUCCCAAGGUUUUUUUUCUCCAUUCUCUCACUGAUGGAGUUUUGGUUCCUUGCCGCUGUCGCCUCUGGCUUGCUUAGUUGGGGACACUUCAUUUACAGCGAUAUCGUUGACUUGAUUGCAAAUUAUUGCACAGAUACUAUUUAAACUGAACUGAGCUGCAUGAUGACAUCACUGAAUUCAAUGAUGAACUGCCUUUAACUGUCAUUUUGCAUUAUUGACACUGUUUUCCUAAUUAAUGUUGUUCAGUUGCUUUGACGCAAUCUUUUUUGUUUAAAGCGCUAUAUAAAUAAAGAUGACUUGACUUGACGUGGGUUGAGUACACACAUAACUCAUUACCAGUGUCGUCCAUGGGCCUUUCGCCUUUCGAGUGUAGCUUAGGUUACCAGCCACCUAUUUUUCCCAGUCUGGAAUCCGAAGUUGCAGUCCCCUCUGCUCACGCCUUCAUCCAGGGGUGUUGUCGCACCUGGAGAAAGGCCUGAGAGACUCUUCUCCGGGUGGGACAACGUCGUCGUCGUUUUGACCUCCCGUCUAC